CCUACGGGAGGCAGCAGUGGGGAAUAUUGCACAAUGGGGGAAACCCUGAUGCAGCAACGCCGCGUGAAGGAAGACGGCUUUCGGAUUGUAAACCUCUGUUCAUAGUGAAGAAAAAUGACGGUAGCUAAGGAGCAAGCCACGGCUAACUACGUGCCAGCAGCCGCGGUAAUACGGAGGAGGCAAGCGUUGUCCGGAAUUACUGGGUGUAAAGGGAGCGCAGGCGGGAAGCUAAGUCAGCUGUGAAAACUACGGGCUUAACUUGUAGACUGCAGUUGAACCGGGUUGUCUUGAGUGAAGUAGAGGUUGGCGGGAUUCCGAGGGUAGCGGUGGAAUGCGUAGAUAUUCGG
rnacentral:rRNA from 1 species